UCCUGGCGCCCUUCAUUCCACCGGAAUCUGUCGAUGCAGAAACCAGAUUUCAGUGAAAUGAAGCCCGUCAGAGA
rnacentral:pre_miRNA from 1 species